GCCCACUGCCGCCGGGAGGCCGCGCACACUGCCGCUGUUGUGUGGGUUUGUGUUGAAGGUAAAGGGCCGGGAGGCCGCGCACACUGCCGCUGUUGUCCGGGUUUGUGUUGAAGGUAAAGGGCCGGGAGGCCGCGCACACUGCCGCUGUUGUCCGGGUUUGUGUUGAAGGUAAAGGGCCGGGAGGCCGCGCACACUGCCGCUGUUGUCCGGGUUUGUGUUGAAGAACUAGCUUUCUUACGAGAAGAGGCAGAGACCCUAGCAAUGCUCACACAGAAAGGAAAGGCCACCUGGGGACAGAGAAAGAAGGCACCUGUCUACAAGCUGAGAAGAGAGGCCUCAGGAGACACCAGCCCUGCCAGCACCUUGAUUUUGGAUUCCAGCCUUCAGAACGAUCACUGAUUUCAAAGAGUUACAGUGAAAGCAGGUGCUUCACAUGCAUGAGGACGUGCUGCAAAGAUGAUUGGACAGGACAUCAGGGAUUCCAGAAAUUACCUGUGGCCCACCCUCUUCCCGGAUCAACAGGGUCCAAGAGCAGGAAAGUGGAAUUGAAUACCUGGACUAAGACCAAAGAAUGCCGCAGUGCGAGUUGGGGGGGAUAAAUUCCAGGUUUUGAGCUGUUGCUCUAGUCGGUCUGCGCCUGCAGAUGGCAGCGCUCCUUCAUCGUUGCAGCGAUGUGGAUUGAAAUGCACUGGAGCGUCAAUGGAAGGUGAAUUUAUGAAGUGAAAUCAAACUUCAGAAAUCUAUUUUCAGUUGAUUCCACUGGACGCAACUCAAGCAACAGUGUUAAAUGACGAUGGGGAAUACACGUGGGGCAGAGGGACCGGGUGCCUCGUGACAGCGCCCCACUCAGGCCCCAGCUGGAACUGAGCGCAGCCCCCAUCCGGGGAACGGGGACAGUCUCCCCCUGGUGGAGCCGCUGAGGUGUGUCCGCCAGCGACGGCGGAAUCGCUCACUGCGCACCGUCCUGACUCCUCAAUACAAAUACGGGUGUCAGUGACAUGAAAUUUGUCACUGCAGAUAUCCAGAGAGCUGAAAUAAAGGAGUUGCUGGAGUGCUGAAAUGCAGAACCUAGAGCAAUACUGAAGUAUGGACUGGGUCUGAGCUGCUGUACAGCUGUUGAAGGCAGUCUGAGGCACCCUGGAGAGAGACCUGGGCUUUCAGUACCCUUCUCAGGCCCCCAGCCCUCCUAGAGCAUUCCUCAGCGAGAUCUGUCAGCUUGCCAUGCACAGCCAGUGGGUCCCUGUUGUGAGGACGGCAUGGGAGAGAUGACUUCCUUCCAGCCUAAGGGAUUGGGCACCGAAGACAGCACAGACAAGCAUCCUUGGUCAUUGCAUGGAAUAGAACAUUUCAACAGCUCAAACACACUGGCAAUACACGUGCUUGCUAACAACUACAUGGCCAAAGAAAACACUCAAAUAAACCUGCGAGUUUGUUCUUGCUUGGGGAGCAGGAGAAGUUAAUGCCAUGAGGCCAUUCUAAAGUGGACCAGGUGAGUUGGAUAAAGUUCCUUCCUUAUGUUUGAAAAAAUUCAUUUUAAAAAGAAAGGCUGUGGUGUCCUUGUGGAAUACACUCGUGGGCUUUCAGUGUGAGACGCCUUCUGGGAGCCAUGAUCAAGCCUGGACUUUGAAUAAGGCAGCUGGAGAGUGGAGGAUUCAUGGAAGGUACACUUUGGAGGAGGAGAUCUAGAAACUUUGUUAGUGUGUAUGAUGGGAUGUAAUAGCAAUCAAUUACAUAUCAAUAACUAGGGUAAAUUUUCAACAUUAUUGUUGAUAAUAGAAACCGAUGAGUUACCUACGCAAAUAAUAAUUUAAGAAAGGUUAAUUUUUGUUGUGGUUCUAUAAAAAUAAUGCUGUUUACCCGAACUGAUCCAUGCUCUUCACCAUUUAUGCAAGAUUAUCUUGCAGAAGCAUAGCAAUUAUAUACAUCACUAAUGUGGUCGGGGCUCUUGAGUGAAUUCUGUUUCAUUGGCAUUAAGCACAUUCUUCAGUGCUAAACAAUGAGGUAGCUUCUCAUGUUGUGUGAUAUUUAACAAAUUUAGCACAUUGAAAAGGCUCUCUGGGGUAAAAUAAGAUGUUUGUAAGUUGACAUUUUGUAUAUUUUCCUAAGCCAAUGUAAAUACUAUACAAAGAGAUGGCAGUGAGGCUUCUGCAAGGUAUCAAUACAACCUCAAAUGACUAAGUGCAUGGCAUUUUCUAAAUUUUUAAAAUUACUUCUUGAAUACUUAUUAUGCCCUUAUUCCACACCAGGUAGUGGAGAUAUAAAUAGAGAUCGUUUCUAUUUCCAUUAAGCUUUAAAACUUAGUGGAAAGAAAACUGACUUUAAUCAAAUAAUGCUACCAAGAUAUAAUGUAAGUGAUAAGUGCAAAGAAGAAAAAGCGUUAAUUGUAGAGCAUCUAUACUUGGGAAUCCUAAUACACUCUGGAAAAUAGCUGAAAAGUUUCUUUGAGAUCAUGACAUUUGAAUUGAAAUCUCAAGUUCAGGGACUAGAAAUGAGGAUCUGAACCAAGAGAGGAGCUUUUUCCAGGACAGGAGUUUGGACAAUGUGAAGCACUUGAGAAGAUGGAAGAUGGUGAAUGUGAGCUGAGGCGAGUGGAGAGGGAGAGUAGAGGAGACAAGGCAGAUAGAGCAGACACUUGAUCGUGAGGGACAUGGGAGGCCAUGCCACGGACUUGACCCUUUCUCUUACCUGUGAUGACUCGUCUGAGAGACUUUAUGCAGGAGAGCAGCACGAUUGCCUUUGGAAAUGGCCAUCAGGCAGCCAUGUGGAGUCUCUAUUGCUCAGAAGACAGCAGGACACCACCUGGAAGCAAUUCCGAGUAAGACACAGUGCUCAAGACAAUGUUCGGAUUAACCCUACAUUCCACCAAUAGGUAUCAAGGACUCCCGACGUUUCAGGCAUGGCACGGGGAUUGGGACAGAGCAGUGGGAAAAUGACAAAGGCCCUGCUUUUCAUUCUAGUGGGUGUGUCAAGGGCUUAGAAGAUCAGUAACAAAGGACAAUGUGGGAGAGAAAAGAAUGGAACAAAAAAAUGACAGGAAUGAAAGUAGAUCUCUGCGUUUACACUGGGGAAAUGUCAAAGUUCUGAGGGGAAAGGAGAAAACAACAGUGAACCCUACUCUGAACCAGUGUCAACAAUUAAUUAACAAAGUAUAGAAAUUAGCUGAUUUUUUUUUGCAUGUGUACCCUGUAAGAACAGGAGAGGAAUUUUAUUAGAACCCCCUUUUCUAGAGGGAUAAUGGCCGGGCUGUUCAUUUUCUGUGAUUUGCAGUUCUGUAAAUAUAUUUAUAAUGAUCAUCAACUCUAUAUCUAGCCUACAGAUUCACAACUCAAAUAUAGUAAAUAUGGAGCAUCUGAAAAUGCACAGCUGCUGUGUUUACUAAAGCACUUAUUACAUAAAAAUAAUAUCUGUUAUUCAAUUGGGUUCUAAAUUUGAACAUGAUACAUACAAUUCUGGUUAUAUUCACUAUUGGAGUUAAGGAAAAUGAAUGAGGUCUACCUAAAUUGAUAUGUGAGAAAUUAAAAGCAGAAUAAACACCCACCCACAGUGAGUGGC
rnacentral:lncRNA from 1 species